rfam:Schistosoma mattheei strain Denwood, Zambia genome assembly, scaffold: SMTD_scaffold0014740
AUACUGCUGAGGGGUUCCACAAUAGGACAAAACGGCCGUCCAGUAC